UGGGGGAUAUUGCACAAUGGGGGGAACCCUGAUGCAGCGACGCCGCGUGAGCGAAGAAGUACCUCGGUAUGUAAAGCUCUAUCAGCAGGGAAGAAAAUGACGGUACCUGACUAAGAAGCCCCGGCUAAAUACGUGCCAGCAGCCGCGGUAAUACGUAUGGGGCAAGCGUUAUCCGGAUUUACUGGGUGUAAAGGGAGCGCAGGCGGCCUGCCAAGUCUGGUGUGAAAACCCGGGGCCCAACCCCGGGCCUGCAUUGGAAACUGGCGGGCUGGAGUGUCGGAGGGGCAGGCGGAAUUCCUAGUGUAGCGGUGAAAUGCGUAGAUAUUAGGAGGAACACCGGUGGCGAAGGCGGCCUGCUGGACGAUGACUGACGCUGAGGCUCGAAAGCGUGGGGAGCAAACAGG
rnacentral:rRNA from 1 species